CAUAGGAGUGGUAAUAAAAAAAGUGUUUUAUAGAUAAGUUCCUCAUGAAUUUAUGUACAUCUAAAAAAUUUCGAAAAGGGUCGGAGGAAGUGUUCUUCAUCAACUCUGUCUAGGAUUACAUGCAGUAUUGCUGCAGGAUGACAUGCUGUGGUAGGAUUGGCUGCUGAGACACCUCCGUCAUUGUGUACAGCGGCAGUACUUUGUGUGG